rnacentral:rRNA from 1 species
AUUGAACGCUGGCGGCAUGCUUUACACAUGCGAGUCGAACGGUAACAGCACUUCGGUGGCUGACGAGUGGCGAACGGGUGAGUAAUACAUCGGAACGUGCCUAGUAGUGGGGGAUAACUACUCGAAAGAGUAGCUAAUACCGCAUGAGAUCUAAGGAUGAAAGCAGGGGACCUUCGGGCCUUGCGCUACUAGAGCGGCUGAUGGCAGAUUAGGUAGUUGGUGGGAUAAAAGCUUACCAAGCCGACGAUCUGUAGCUGGUCUGAGAGGACGACCAGUCACACUGGGACUGAGACACGGCCCAGACUCCUACGGGAGGCAGCAGUGGGGAAUUUUGGACAAUGGGCGCAAGCCUGAUCCAGCAAUGCCGCGUGCAGGAUGAAGGCCUUCGGGUUGUAAACUGCUUUUGUACGGAACGAAAAGCCCUCUUCUAAUACAGGAGGGUCAUGACGGUACCGUAAGAAUAAGCACCGGCUAACUACGUG